GCCUCCCAAAAGGUAACAAAGGCGUGCAAAAAUUUUCUUGGGCCGGAUGAAGAUUGGCCCUCGAGUGCAAAGGCAGAAAUGAGCUCGACUGCAAAACCCACCCGUCGAGCAGAGAUGAAAGUCGGCCUUAGUGAUCCAAUGGUGCCGAGUGGAAGGGCCAUGAUGAAGC
rnacentral:ncRNA from 1 species